rnacentral:rRNA from 1 species
CCUACGGGCGGCAGCAGUGGGGAAUAUUGGACAAUGGGGGCAACCCUGAUCCAGCCAUGCCGUGUGUGUGAAGAAGGCCCUCGGGUUGUAAAGCACUUUCAGUGAGGAAGAACGCCUGGUGGUUAAUACCCAUCAGGAAAGACAUCACUCACAGAAGAAGCACCGGCUAACUCCGUGCCAGCAGCCGCGGUAAUACGGAGGGUGCGAGCGUUAAUCGGAAUUACUGGGCGUAAAGCGCGCGUAGGUGGCUUGAUAAGCCGGUUGUGAAAGCCCCGGGCUCAACCUGGGAACGGCAUCCGGAACUGUCAAGCUAGAGUGCAGGAGAGGAAGGUAGAAUUCCCGGUGUAGCGGUGAAAUGCGUAGAGAUCGGGAGGAAUACCAGUGGCGAAGGCGGCCUUCUGGACUGACACUGACACUGAGGUGCGAAAGCGUGGGUAGCAAACAGGAUUAGAUACCCGAGUAGUC